rnacentral:rRNA from 1 species
CCUACGGGAGGCUGCAGUGGGGAAUAUUGCACAAUGGGGGAAACCCUGAUGCAGCGACGCCGCGUGAGUGAAGACGUAUUUCGGUAUGUUAAGCUCUAUCAGCAGGGGAGCAAAUAACGGUACCUGAUUAGGAAGCCCCGGCUAAAUACGUGCCAGCAGCCGCGGUAAUACGUAGGGGGCAAGCGUUAUCCGGAUUUACUGGGUGUAAAGGGAGCGUAGACGGCAGCACAAGUCUGGAGGGAAAUGCCGGGGUUUAACCCCGGACCUGCUGUGGAAACUGUGCAGCUAGAGUGCAGGAGAGGUAAGUGGAAUGCGUAGUGUAGCGGUGAAAUGCGUAGAUAUUAGGAGGAACACCAGUGGCGAAGGCGGCUUACUGGACUGUAACUGACGUUGAGGCUCGAAAGCGUGGGGAGCAAACAGGAUUAGAUACCCUAGUAGUC